GCCGCUUCAGCACGUCCAUCUGUUGGGGUUGAUCUUCAUGCAGAAGCAAGAAUUAAGUGCUGCAGGCAGUGCUUUGCCUACCUCCAAGAUAUACAGAAAACACUUCCUGAACUUAUAAGGGGAGGGGGUCAGCCGGCAAAAGGUGCAGUACAAUUAAAUCUCCUACUUCAAGAAUCAUAGUCCAGUUUAUGAUAUAUGCUUUUCCUAAUGGCUAAAGCGAGACAACGGAAUGGGAAGUUAGCUACUAUACAAUGUUCUCAAACUUAUGUCUCUUUAUGGACACCCACAAUUUUGCUCCUCGGGUUUCCGUCCUUGCUACCAUUUUCACCAACCUUGUAACAGCGGAAAAUUGGCAAGAUGGAAAUGCAGUGUCUGUCCUCCGCCACUGCAACUGGGUUGGGAGGCAAAGGUAAAAACUCUCGACAUAAUAUAUCCUUUUGUUGGAGAGUAGCAUCGCUAUCUUCAUUCAGAUACGCGGCUUGAACAUAUUCAAAGUUCCUGGCUGUAUGUGUCCAUCCAUAUGUAAGUUGUGUACAUGUAUCUGCAAUAGUAAAAAAAAAUUGGAUGAGAUGUGUACAUCAUUU
rnacentral:misc_RNA from 1 species